GUAAGGCGAGGGCAAACCAUGGGAAACUGCGGGGCGCAAAGCUAUGGGGACUACGACGGUAAAACAGGUACCUGUUUUAAGUUUGCGGCAUGCCGCAAACUUAAUCCGUUAUGUCAGCCCGGCUGCUGGA
rnacentral:ncRNA from 1 species